rnacentral:rRNA from 1 species
UAAAGAAUUUCGGUAUGGGAUGGGGAUGCGUUCCAUUAGUUAGUUGGCGGGGUAACGGCCCACCAAGACAACGAUGGAUAGGGGUUCUGAGAGGAAGGUCCCCCACAUUGGAACUGAGACACGGUCCAAACUCCUACGGGAGGCAGCAGUGAGGAAUAUUGGUCAAUGGACGAGAGUCUGAACCAGCCAAGUAGCGUGAAGGAUGACUGCCCUACGGGUUGUAAACUUCUUUUAUAUGGGAAUAAAAUGUUCCACGUGUGGGAUUUUGUAUGUACCAUAUGAAUAAGGAUCGGCUAACUCCGUGCCAGCAGCCGCGGUAAUACGGAGGAUCCGAGCGUUAUCCGGAUUUAUUGGGUUUAAAGGGAGCGUAGGUGGAUUGUUAAGUCAGUUGUGAAAGUUUGCGGCUCAACCGUAAAAUUGCAGUUGAAACUGGCAGUCUUGAGUACAGUAGAGGUGGGCGGAAUUCGUGGUGUAGCGGUGAAAUGCUUAGAUAUCACGAAGAACUCCGAUUGCGAAGGCAGCUCACUGGACUGCAACUGACACUGAGGCUCGAAAGUGUGGGUAUCAAACAGGAUUAGAUACCCUGGUAGUCCACACAGUAAACGAUGAAUACUCGCUGUUUGCGAUAUACUGCAA